rnacentral:rRNA from 1 species
AGUGAACGCUGGCGGUAGGCCUAACACAUGCAAGUCGAACGGCAGCACAGUAAGAGCUUGCUCUUACGGGUGGCGAGUGGCGGACGGGUGAGGAAUACAUCAGAAUCUACUUUUUCGUGGGGGAUAACGUAGGGAAACUUACGCUAAUACCGCAUACGACCUACGGGCGAAAGCAGGGGAUCUUCGGACCUUGCGCGAUUGAAUGAGCCGAUGUCGGAUUAGCUAGUUGGCGGGGUAAAGGCCCACCAAGGCGACGAUCCGUAGCUGGUCUGAGAGGAUGAUCAGCCACACUGGAACUGAGACACGGUCCAGACUCCUACGGGAGGCAGCAGUGGGGAAUAUUGGACAAUGGGCGCAAGCCUGAUCCAGCCAUACCGCGUGGGUGAAGAAGGCCUUCGGGUUGUAAAGCCCUUUUGUUGGGAAAGAAAAGCAGCAGGUUAAUACCCCGCUGUUCUGACGGUACCCAAAGAAUAAGCACCGGCUAACUUCGUG